GACGAACGCUGGCGGCGUGCUUAACACAUGCAAGUCGAACGGUGAAGCUCCAGCUUGCUGGAGUGGAUCAGUGGCGAACGGGUGAGUAACACGUGAGCAACCUGCCCCUGACUCUGGAAUAAGCGCUGGAAACGGCGUCUAAUACUGGAUACAAGAAGGGUCCGCAUGGGCACUUUCUGGAAAGUUUUUCGGUUGGGGAUGGGCUCGCGGCCUAUCAGCUUGUUGGUGAGGUAAUGGCUCACCAAGGCGACGACGGGUAGCCGGCCUGAGAGGGCGACCGGCCACACUGGGACUGAGACACGGCACAGACUCCUACGGGAGGCAGCAGUGGGGAAUAUUGCACAAUGGGCGAAAGCCUGAUGCAGCGACGCCGCGUGAGGGAUGACGGCCUUCGGGUUGUAAACCUCUUUCAGCAGGGAAGAAGCGAAAGUGACGGUACCUGCAGAAGAAGCACCGGCUAACUACGUG
rnacentral:rRNA from 1 species